AUAUACUGGUCGCCGUAG
rnacentral:siRNA from 1 species